rnacentral:rRNA from 1 species
GACGAAGGAUGCAAGCGUUAUCUGGAUUCAUUGGGUUUAAAGGGAGCGUAGGUGGCCUUAUAAGUCAGUGGUGAAAUCUCUGGGCUUAACCCAGAAAUUGCCAUUGAUACUGUAGGGCUUGAGUAUAGUUGCCGUUGGCGGAAUAUGACAUGUAGUGGUGAAAUACAUAGAGAUGUCAUAGAACACCGAUUGCGAAGGCAGCUAAACGAAACUAUAACUGACACUGAGGCUCGAAAAGUGCGGGGAUCAAAACAGG